CCCCUGGUAGUCCAACGGCAGAGACAAACGACUUAAAAUCGUUACAGUGCGGGUUCAAAUCCCGCCCAGGGGA
rnacentral:tRNA from 1 species